rnacentral:rRNA from 1 species
CAGGAUGAACGCUGGCGGCGUGCUUAACACAUGCAAGUCGAACGGUGAACACGGAGCUUGCUCUGUGGGAUCAGUGGCGAACGGGUGAGUAACACGUGAGCAACCUGCCCCUGACUCUGGGAUAAGCGCUGGAAACGGCGUCUAAUACUGGAUAUGUGACGUGACCGCAUGGUCUGCGUUUGGAAAGAUUUUUCGGUUGGGGAUGGGCUCGCGGCCUAUCAGCUUGUUGGUGAGGUAAUGGCUCACCAAGGCGUCGACGGGUAGCCGGCCUGAGAGGGUGACCGGCCACACUGGGACUGAGACACGGCCCAGACUCCUACGGGAGGCAGCAGUGGGGAAUAUUGCACAAUGGGCGAAAGCCUGAUGCAGCAACGCCGCGUGAGGGAUGACGGCCUUCGGGUUGUAAACCUCUUUUAGCAGGGAAGAAGCGAAAGUGAC